rnacentral:misc_RNA from 1 species
UCCGGUUUAUCACCGGCAGUCCCCUUAGAGUUCCCAGCUUUACCUGUUGGCAACUAAGGGUAAUGGUUGCGCUCGUUGCGGGACUUAACCCAACACUUCACAGCACGAGCUGACGACAGCCAUGCAGCACCUGUGUUAGCCUCCGAUUGGAUACGGUCGGCAGGACUUUCAUCCCACCUACUGCUAUCAUGUCAAGCCUAGGUAAGGUUCCUCGCGUAGCCUCGAAUUAAACCACAUGCUCCACCGCUUGUGCGGGUCCCCGUCAAUUUCUUUGAGUUUCAGUCUUGCGACCGUACUCCCCAGGUGGUAGAUUUAAUGUGUUAACUGCGGCACCGAAGGGUUCGACUCCUCCGACACCUAAUCUACAUCGUUUACGGUAGGGACUAC